rnacentral:rRNA from 1 species
GGUAGUCCACGCCGUAAACGAUGAGUGCUAAGUGUUGGAGGGUUUCCGCCCUUCAGUGCUGCAGUUAACGCAUUAAGCACUCCGCCUGGGGAGUACGGCCGCAAGGCUGAAACUCAAAGGAAUUGACGGGGGCCCGCACAAGCGGUGGAGCAUGUGGUUUAAUUCGAAGCAACGCGAAGAACCUUACCAGGUCUUGACAUCCUUUGACCACUCUAGAGAUAGAGCUUUCCCUUCGGGGACAAAGUGACAGGUGGUGCAUGGUUGUCGUCAGCUCGUGUCGUGAGAUGUUGGGUUAAGUCCCGCAACGAGCGCAACCCUUAUUGUUAGUUGCCAUCAUUCAGUUGGGCACUCUAGCGAGACUGCCGGUGACAAACCGGAGGAAGGUGGGGAUGACGUCAAAUCAUCAUGCCCCUUAUGACCUGGGCUACACACGUGCUACAAUGGACGGUACAAUGAGUCGCGAGACCGCGAGGUUUAGCUAAUCUCUUAAAGCCGUUCUCAGUUCGGAUUGUAGGCUGCAACUCGCCUACAUGAAGCCGGAAUCGCUAGUAAUCGUGGAUCAGCACGCCACGGUGAAUACGUUCCCGGGCCUUGUACACACCGCCCGUCACACCACGAGAGUUUGUAACACCCAAAGUCGGUGAGGUAACCUUGACCAGUCGCUAGCCAAAACAGAGAC